GGGCGAUUAGCUCAGCUGGUUUAGAGCACCUGCCUUACAAGCAGGGGGUCACUGGUUCGACUCCAGUAUCGCCCA
rnacentral:tRNA from 1 species